UGGGGAAUUUUGGACAAUGGGGGAAACCCUGAUCCAGCCAUGCCGCGUGAGUGAAGAAGGCCUUCGGGUUGUAAAGCUCUUUUGGCCGGGAAGAAAGGGUUCGGGCGAAUAACCUGGAUCUUUGACGGUACCGGCAGAAUAAGCACCGGCUAACUACGUGCCAGCAGCCGCGGUAAUACGUAGGGUGCGAGCGUUAAUCGGAAUUACUGGGCGUAAAGCGUGCGUAGGCGGUUCGUUAUGUCUGCUGUGAAAGCCCCGGGCUUAACCUGGGAAUGGCAGUGGAAACUGGCGGGCUUGAGUGUGGCAGAGGGGGGUGGAAUUCCGCGUCUAGCAGUGAAAUGCGUAGAGAUGCGGAGGAACACCGAUGGCGAAGGCAGCCCCCUGGGCUAACACUGACGCUGAGGCACGAAAGCGUGGGGAGCAAAC
rnacentral:rRNA from 1 species